CCACCACUUUCAUCUCUAUCUUUCUAGCUAGCUAUCGGGCCCAAUAUCUUAUCCUAUUUUACAGUGCAUGGUUGACAUGAUUCCCUCACUUCACUUCCUCUCCAUUCAUGUCUACACCAUCUUGAUUUCUUUAAUUAUUUCACAUGUGCUUCUAAAUACACCAACUUAGAUCCUAACGUAAUCCUUCAAAGCUAUUCAAACACAUAAAAUUUGCAUGCAUUAUGUGAUAUUCAUGAUGCAGGAAGCGAAGUCAAACGAACCAAUGGACAUCGAGUUAACUAUGUUACAUCAGAUACUUCGAAACACCUUGGAGGAUGCUGCGAACUUGAUCACAGAGGGAGUCAAGAUAAGACAGAUGAAGAUGAUGUCAGGGUGAUGACGUAGGAGCUAGCAAGUAGGGGUUCCCUACCACUUUAAUCUUGCAGAAUAGGUAUAAAUGGGACCGUGAAAAUAACACAAUGAUACCAUGUUAUUGCUUUUUUAAGACGAUAGAUGUAUGCAUAGCUAGUGUGGUGGCGUUAUGUCCAUGUAUAUAUGUUCAAUUUUUUUUUUAAUUUUUGAAUAAAUAUGUAGUGGCUGUCCA